GACGGACGCUGGCGGCGUGCUUAACGCAUGCAAGUCGAACGGAAAGGCCCUGCUUUUGUGGGGUGCUCGAGUGGCGAACGGGUGAGUAACACGUGAGUAACCUGCCCUUGACUUUGGGAUAACUUCAGGAAAUUGGGGCUAAUACCGGAUAGGAGCUCCUGCUGCAUGGUGGGGGUUGGAAAGUUUCGGCGGUUGGGGAUGGACUCGCGGCUUAUCAGCUUGUUGGUGGGGUAGUGGCUUACCAAGGCUUUGACGGGUAGCCGGCCUGAGAGGGUGACCGGCCACAUUGGGACUGAGAUACGGCCCAGACUCCUACGGGAGGCAGCAGUGGGGAAUAUUGCACAAUGGGCGGAAGCCUGAUGCAGCAACGCCGCGUGCGGGAUGACGGCCUUCGGGUUGUAAACCGCUUUCGCCUGUGACGAAGCGUGAGUGACGGUAAUGGGUAAAGAAGCACCGGCUAACUACGUG
rnacentral:rRNA from 1 species